rnacentral:rRNA from 1 species
GUAGAGGGGGGUAGAAUUCUAGGUGUAGCGGUGAAAUGCGUAGAGAUCUGGAGGAAUACCGGUGGCGAAGGCGGCCCCCUGGACGAAGACUGACGCUCAGGUGCGAAAGCGUGGGGAGCAAACAGGAUUAGAUACCCUGGUAGUCCACGCCGUAAACGAUGUCGACUUGGAGGUUGUGCCCUUGAGGCGUGGCUUCCGGAGCUAACGCGUUAAGUCGACCGCCUGGGGAGUACGGCCGCAAGGUUAAAACUCAAAUGAAUUGACGGGGGCCCGCACAAGCGGUGGAGCAUGUGGUUUAAUUCGAUGCAACGCGAAGAACC